rnacentral:rRNA from 1 species
UACGUAGGUGGCGAGCGUUGUCCGGAUUUACUGGGCGUAAAGGGAGCGUAGGCGGACUUUUAAGUGAGAUGUGAAAUACCCGGGCUCAACUUGGGUGCUGCAUUUCAAACUGGAAGUCUAGAGUGCAGGAGAGGAGAAUGGAAUUCCUAGUGUAGCGGUGAAAUGCGUAGAGAUUAGGAAGAACACCAGUGGCGAAGGCGGCUUUCUGGACUGUAACUGACACUGAGGCAUGAAAGCGUGGGUAGCAAACAGGAUUAGAUACCCCUGUA